AUUGAACGCUGGCGGCAGGCCUAACACAUGCAAGUCGAACGAGUGGCGGACGGGUGUGAAAUGUCUGGGAAACUGCCUGUUGGGGGGGGACACUUACUGGAGACGGGAGCUAAUACCGCAUACCAUCAGGUGGUCCCAGACUGGAUUAGCUAGUGGGUGGGGUAACGGCUCACCUAGGCGACGAUCCCUUGCUGGUCUGAGAGGAUGACCAGCCACACUGGAACUGAGACACGGUCCAGACUCCUACGGGAGGCAGCAGGGGGGAAUAUUGCACAAUGGGCGCAAGCCUGAUGCAGCCAUGCCGCGUGUAUGAAGAAGGCCUUCGGGUUGUAAAGUACUUUCAGCGGGGAGGCGUUACCCGCAGAAGAAGCACCGGCUAACUCCGUGCCAGCAGCCGCGGUAAUUC
rnacentral:rRNA from 1 species